GUAGCGUAUAUUAAAGUUGUUGCAGUUAAAAAGCUCGUAGUCGAACUUCGGGCCCGGCGGGACGGUCUGCCUUACGGUAUGUACUGUCCGGCUGGGUCUUACCUCUUGGUGAGGCUACAUGCCCUUCAUUGGGUGUGUAGUGGAACCAGGAAUUUUACCUUGAGAAAAUUAGAGUGUUCAAAGCAGGCAUUUGCCCGAAUACAUUAGCAUGGAAUAAUAGAAUAGGACGUGCGGUUCUAUUUUGUUGGUUUCUAGAGUCGCCGUAAUGAUUAAUAGGGAUAGUUGGGGGCAUUAGUAUUCAGUUGCUAGAGGUGAAAUUCUUGGAUUUACUGAAGACUAACUAUUG
rnacentral:rRNA from 1 species